GAUGAACGCUAGCUACAGGCUUAACACAUGCAAGUCGAGGGGAAACGAUAGAGAAAGCUUGCUUUUUCUAGGCGUCGACCGGCGCACGGGUGAGUAACGCGUAUCCAACCUGCCCAUCACUUGGGGAUAACCUUGCGAAAGUAAGACUAAUACCCAAUGAUAUCUCUAGAAGACAUCUGAAGGAGAUGAAAGAUUUAUCGGUGAUGGAUGGGGAUGCGUCUGAUUAGCUUGUUGGCGGGGUAACGGCCCACCAAGGCGACGAUCAGUAGGGGUUCUGAGAGGAAGGUCCCCCACAUUGGAACUGAGACACGGUCCAAACUCCUACGGGAGGCAGCAGUGAGGAAUAGUGGUCAAUGGGCGAGAGCCUGAACCAGCCAAGUAGCGUGCAGGAUGACGGCCCUAUGGGUUGUAAACUGCUUUUAUAAGGGAAUAAAGUGAGUCUCGUGAGGCUUUUUGCAUGUACCUUAUGAAUAAGGACCGGCUAAUUCCGUGCCAGCCGCCGCAGUAA
rnacentral:rRNA from 1 species